UACGUAGGGCGCGAGCGUUGUCCGGAUUUAUUGGGCGUAAAGAGCUCGUAGGCGGCUCGUUGCGUCGGCUGUGAAAACCCGCAGCUCAACUGUGGGCUUGCAGCUGAUACGGGCGGGCUGGGAUUCGGUAGGGGAGACUGGAAUUCCUGGUGUAGCGGUGAAAUGCGCAGAUAUCAGGAGGAACACCGGUGGCGAAGGCGGCCAGCUGGCGCUGACCUGACGCUGAGGCGCGAAGGCAUGGGGAGCGAACGGG
rnacentral:rRNA from 1 species